rnacentral:rRNA from 1 species
CACGUAGGGGGCGAGCGUUGUUCGGAAUUACUGGGCGUAAAGGGCAUGUAGGCGGCCCUAUAAGCCUGGCGUGAAAGUCACCGGCUCAACCGGUGGAUUGCGCUGGGAACUGCAGGGCUUGAAUCAUGGAGAGGGAGCUAGAAUUCCUGGUGUAGGGGUGAAAUCUGUAGAGAUCAGGAAGAAUACCAGUGGCGAAGGCGAGCUCCUGGCCAAUGAUUGACGCUGAGGUGCGAAAGUGUGGGGAU